UACGUAGGGUGCGAGCGUUGUCCGGAAUUAUUGGGCGUAAAGAGCUCGUAGGCGGCUUGUCGCGUCGGAUGUGAAAGCCCGGGGCUUAACUCCGGGUCUGCAUUCGAUACGGGCAGGCUAGAGUGUGGUAGGGGAGAUCGGAAUUCCUGGUGUAGCGGUGAAAAUGCGCAGAUAUCAGGAGGAACACCGGUGGCGAAGGCGGAUCUCUGGGCCAUUACUGACGCUGAGGAGCGAAAGCGUGGGGAGCGAACAGG
rnacentral:rRNA from 1 species